ACUAACAGUAGGUGAACGUAAAAGUUGGGUGAUACAGAGAAGAUUAGCAUGGCCCCUGCACAAGGAUGACACGCAUCGCACUUUUUU
rnacentral:snRNA from 1 species